rnacentral:lncRNA from 1 species
GUAGAUUGAUUAAUCUUGAAAUAUAAGAUGACUGUGGAUGUUAGUAUUCCAUGUGUUUAACAUCGGCCCAAAGGGAGGUUGUUAUUUGGCAGGAAUUCGAACAUGCUUGUGGUGAUAAAUAUGUGAGAAUUAUUUGGUUUUCCAUGUGAAUAUUAAAUCGUCCCAAAGGAAGGUUUGAUAUUUGACAGGAGUUUAUUGUCUAUGUUUGAUCACUACACCAAGACUACCACUUACAAGUUGUUUUUCUGUCCAAAGACUAAAAUCAUUGUUGUGCUAGGUAUCUUGUAAUGGGAUUUGCCUAUUUUGAAUCUGUAUACUAAAGUUAAAAUUCAAACAUUAUGAUAGUUCUCGUAGGUAUCUUGUAAUGGGAUUUGCCUAUUUUGAAUCUAUAAACUAAAGUUAAAGUUCAAGUAAUUGUAAGCAUG